rnacentral:lncRNA from 1 species
GUGCAACCAUAACUCUGAUAUGGGCUUCAACAAAGAUGGAAGAAGACUUGCUGCCCCAGAUCUGCUCAGGAAACAACAGAGUACUUAAAAAGCAGAGAAGCACCUGCAGUUUAAGAGAAUGGAAAAUCUGCAUCAAUCUGUGCCAUGGAACGCAAGUAUGAAUGGAUCAUGAAUAAUUUCAAACAAGAGCAAGAUUUGAGACUCUGGCCAAUUUCCUCAAAUAAAUAACUGACUGUAGGAUAUGACUGAGCAAUGUGGAACCUGGCAGCAGAGUGCUGUUGAACGCAUUACGAGCUUUGCUGGGAUCCCAGGGGGAGACUACAGAAAUUUUAUUGUUGUCUUCAGUGAGAGCAAAAUAAUUUCCUGGGAGCUCUCCUCUGCAUUGAAAGAUGUCAUAAAACUCAACACUUCACCAGGGAUAUGGGAGAAGUGGGCUUUGUUCUGUUCUCCAGUCUGAAUGGAUUUAAGCCUACAUCGUGCACGUACCCCUCUUCUGGAUCUGCAUGGCCUUCAGUCUUAGAGCCCUCUGCUGUUGUAGUUCCCUUUGCCAAAAAUGAAGCAAUUUUAUUAAUACAAUGUGAAAAGUAUUAGAGUAUCAUCUAUUGAUAAAGGGAAUUUUCUAGGUGAACGGAAUUUUGUACUUGAGACACUCUUUGGGUGACUUGUACAGGCUGUUUCAGCCAACAGGGACCAGUGAAGAGGGAAACACUGAAGAAUAAACAGCCUCGUCUCCCCUGGGAAUCCCCUCA